UGGGGACCACAGGAUCCUGGGCUGUGUCCCCGGCGCCCUGGGAUCCAGGGCCUGCGCCGCUGGAAUCACGCCCCCGGGUCCGGGCUCCCGA
rnacentral:pre_miRNA from 1 species